GCCUGGGUGGCUCAGUGGUUGAGCGUCUGCCUUUGGCUCAGGGUGUGACCCAGGAUUCCUGGGAUCAAGUCCCACAUCAGGCU
rfam:Canis lupus familiaris chromosome 20, whole genome shotgun sequence.